AGCGAACGCUGGCGGCAGGCCUAACACAUGCAAGUCGAGCGCCCGUAGCAAUACGGGAGCGGCAGACGGGAUAGUAACACGUGGGAACGUACCCUUCAGUUCGGAACAACCCAGGGAAACUUGGGCUAAUACCGAAUACGUCCGUAAGGAGAAAGAUUUAUCGCUGAAGGAUCGGCCCGCGUCUGAUUAGCUAGUUGGUGAGGUAAUGGCUCACCAAGGCGACGAUCAGUAGCGGUCUGAGAGGAUGAUCAGCAUCACUGGGACUGAGACACGGCCCAGACUCCUACGGGAGGCAGCAGUGGGGAAUAUUGGACAACGGGCGCAAGCCUGAUCCAGCCAUGCCGCGUGGAUGAUGAAGGCCCUAGGGUUGUAAAGUCCUUUCGGC
rnacentral:rRNA from 1 species